rnacentral:lncRNA from 1 species
CUCACCUCCUGGUUUUAUGGGUGGAAUUCCCUAUUUCAGUGAGGUUGCUGGGGUUGCUUGGUGGUGAAUCAGCUCUUCCAUCAGGGCCAUCUCAUCCUCCCUCACCUGAGCAAUCCUAGGUAUUGUUUCACAGCAGUGUUGCACACCUUAUUUAUGAUCUCACGCGAAGAGAGGUUGUGGAGAGUCUCCUUCUCUGGAGAUAAUCAAGACCCACCUGGAGGCUUCCCUGUGCAACCCACUGUAGGGAAGCAGGGAGUUGGACUGGAUGGUUUCUGAAGGUCCCUUCCAGCCCUUACAGUUCUGUGAUUCUGUGAUAAUUGUGAAGGUGAUAGAAGCAAGCUUUCAGGUCAUCACUGAAGUUACCUUUAGUAGAUUCAAUAUUUUUUCGUACAUCCUGAAAACAUGAGCAUUCGGGAAGAGAAUUAGCUACAAAGUAUCAGUCUUCUACCUAAAUUUUGCAUAAUUAUUCAUGGUCCCACACAGCACCUUCUGGCAGAGCCUCUCAGGGAGCCAUAAGGUCACCUACUGCCAGCAGGUGCUGUGUGGUUCUGGGGAGGAGAGAUGCUCCCUGAAGCUUACUUAAUAGGUGAGGAUUUAGGAAAUGAUGCAAAAAUAGUCUUCAUUUAUUUCCAAGUGGUCACUGAAACUGAAGGCACACUGUCAGUAAAGGCCAUUCCCGUUGAGUGUCAUUGAGUGAGUCAGUGAGAGUCCCAACCUCUUUGUCCUCCAUUUGGGAAUAACCAUGAAACUCCGUGCCAAAAUCUUCCUAUGAUGUAUGGCACCUUCUCUCUGUGUAGCUAUAAUCUAAGCAAAGCUUUUUCUUCCUCAGGGCUCAGCCCUUCUUCCCGCUCCAGCUUAAGACAAUGAUUCAACCACGCAGAUGAGUCCCUAAUUUGGAGGUGACCUCAGCAACCCAUAAAAGGGCUUCAGUGCUCCCUCCAUGGAGAGCUGCAGGAGGACCCAGCUACUGCAGCCUGCACACAUGCACAGCCAUCCCUGAAGGCUUCAUCUGUCUCUGUAAGUCUGUAAGGUGUUGCCAAACACAGAUUCCAAUGAGCAAUUAAAAAAC